rnacentral:rRNA from 1 species
UGCAAGUCGAGGGGCAGCGGAGAGGUAGCAAUACCUUUGCCGGCGACCGGCGCACGGGUGAGUAACACGUAUCCAACCUGCCGAUGACUCGGGGAUAGCCUUUCGAAAGAAAGAUUAAUACCCGAUGGUAUAAUCAGACCGCAUGGUCGAACUAUUAAAGAAUUUCGGUCAUCGAUGGGGAUGCGUUCCAUUAGGCAGUUGGCGGGGUAACGGCCCACCAAACCAACGAUGGAUAGGGGUUCUGAGAGGAAGGUCCCCACAUUGGAACUGAGACACGGUCCAAACUCC